CCUACGGGUGGCAGCAGUGGGGAAUAUUGCACAAUGGGGGAAACCCUGAUGCAGCGACGCCGCGUGAGUGAAGAAGUAUUUCGGUACGUAAAGCUCUAUCAGCAGGGAAGAAAAUGACGGUACCUGACUAAGAAGCCCCGGCUAACUACGUGCCAGCAGCCGCGGUAAUACGUAGGGGGCAAGCGUUAUCCGGAUUGACUGGGUGUAAAGGGAGCGUAGACGGCAGCGCAAGUCUGGAGUGAAAUCCCAUGGCUUAACCAUGGAACUGCUUUGGAAACUGUGCAGCUAGAGUGCAGGAGAGGUAAGCGGAAUGCCUGGUGUAGCGGUGAAAUGCGUAGAUAUUAGGCGGAACACCAGUGGCGAAGGCGGCUUACUGGACUGUAACUGACGUUGAGGCUCGAAAGCGUGGGGAGCAAACAGGAUUAGAUACCCCAGUAGUC
rnacentral:rRNA from 1 species